UUGUAUUGUCAGGGGGCUUGGUUUCGGCCGGGCCCUGUCUGCACAUUACCCCUGUUUUUUGCGUACCUUCUUGUUUCCUCGGCAGGUUAGCCUGCCAGUAGGACCUUUUUUAAAACUCUUUUGUAUUAGCAAUCAGCGUCAGAAAAUUAUAAAUAGUUACAACUUUCAACAACGGAUCUCUUGGUUCU
rnacentral:misc_RNA from 1 species